AUAUAUUUUGACUAUACAAAGGUAUUGAAAUAAGAUUUUAAUUGAAUGCUAAGAGAAUGGAAGUCCAGAAAAAAACUUUUUUUAAAUUAAAAAUUGAAGUUUUUUUAAUUUGUGCAGAAACAAUUAAUUAUAUUAAAGACAAGAAGACCCUAUGAAUUUAUUAAAUUUUUAUUUAAUAUGUAAUUACUAUUAGAAAAAUUUUGGCUGGGGCGGCUAGAAAAUAUUAUGAACUUUUUAAGAAUAAAAUGAUCCAUUAUUAAUGAUUUUAUGUUAAAUACUCUAGGGAUAACAGCGUUAUAUUUUUUGAUAGAUCAUAUUGACAAAAAAGUUUGCGACCUCGAUGUUGGAUUAGGAUACUUUUUUAAUGAAGAUAUUAAAAAAAGAAGUUUGUUCAACUUUUAAUUUCCUUUAGGAAUGAAA
rnacentral:rRNA from 1 species